UACAGAGGGUGCAAGCGUUAUUCGGAAUCAUUGGGCGUAAAGAGCACGUAGGCGGUUUUGUAAGUUUGGUGUGAAAUCCCUGGACUCAAUCCAGGAAGUGCAUCGAAUACUGCAAAACUAGAGUACAGGAGAGGAAAGUGGAAUUCCCGGUGUAGAGGUGAAAUUCGUAGAUAUCGGGAGGAACAACAGAAGCGAAGGCGACUUUCUGGACUGUCACUGACGCUGAGGUGCGAAAGCGUGGGGAGCAAACAGG
rnacentral:rRNA from 1 species